AGAGUUUGAUCAUGGCUCAGAUUGAACGCUGGCGGCAUGCUUUACACAUGCAAGUCGAACGGCAGCAUGGGUGCUUGCACCUGAUGGCGAGUGGCGAACGGGUGAGUAACAUAUCGGAACAUAUCCGGAAGUGGGGGAUAACGUAGCGAAAGUUACGCUAAUACCGCAUAUGCCCUGAGGGGGAAAGGAGGGGAUCCGCAAGGACCUUUCGCUUUCGGAGUGGCCGAUAUCAGAUUAGCUUGUUGGUGAGGUAAAGGCUCACCAAGGCGACGAUCUGUAGCUGGUCUGAGAGGACGACCAGCCACACUGGGACUGAGACACGGCCCAGACUCCUACGGGAGGCAGCAGUGGGGAAUUUUGGACAAUGGGCGCAAGCCUGAUCCAGCCAUGCCGCGUGAGUGAAGAAGGCCUUCGGGUUGUAAAGCUCUUUCAGCUGGAAAAAAAUCGCUUCACCUAAUACGUGGAGUGGAUGAUGGUACCAGCAGAAGAAGCACCGGCUAACUACGUGCCAGCAGCCGCGGUAAUACGUAGGGUGCGAGCGUUAAUCGGAAUUACUGGGCGUAAAGCGUGCGCAGGCGGUUUUGUAAGACAGACGUGAAAUCCCCGGGCUUAACCUGGGAACUGCGUUUGUGACUGCAAGGCUAGAGUAUGGCAGAGGGGGGUAGAAUUCCACGUGUAGCAGUGAAAUGCGUAGAGAUGUGGAGGAAUACCGAUGGCGAAGGCAGCCCCCUGGGUCAAUACUGACGCUCAUGCACGAAAGCGUGGGUAGCAAACAGGAUUAGAUACCCUGGUAGUCCACGCCCUAAACGAUGUCAACUAGGUGUUGGGUGGGUAAAACCAUUUAGUACCGGAGCUAACGCGUGAAGUUGACCGCCUGGGGAGUACGGCCGCAAGGUUAAAACUCAAAUGAAUUGACGG
rnacentral:rRNA from 1 species